UCUCCAGCUGUUUUUGGACUGCAAUCCCCAUCAUCCCUGGUCCUGCUAGCUAGGGAGGAUGGGAGUUGUAGUCCAAAAACAGCUGGGGA